rnacentral:lncRNA from 1 species
AUGAAUGCAUACCGGAGACAAGUAGAUGAAAGCCACCCUUUGCUACCUGGAUACACAGGCUACAUUCCUCUUAGAUUUUACCGAAUUGGAACCAGAUAUGGGGAUGAUUCUGUCUGGUGUGUGAACACAUUUCGUGAUGCAACACAGCGAAGGAAUGACCAAAUGAACGAACUGAGAUGUACAGCAGCUACAGUGCCACAGCUACCACCCAUUUGCUCCAAUGAAGAUACAUUAAAUGUACUCGAUGACUAUAAUUACAAACAUCAUCCCAAUGUGCUGGGUAUGGUAUGCAUCACUUCUAAUGAAUUUGGGGCUUAGCAAAAUAGACUUCACUUUUGUUGAGCCAGACAGCAUUGUUCUAAUUGUUGCUUUGACUGCUGCUUUGUUGCAGUAUUCAUGUUGCCAUGUUGUUGUGGAGGUAAGUCACAUCAGAGAUUGCUGGGUGUCUGAUAAUUGCUUAUUCAUUUCCAAAAAGCUCAUUUGUGACCUCAUCACAAAGGGCACUUUUUGACAGUAUAUGCUGGCUUUUCUCACCCCAGGAGGGACUCAAACAUAACAUAGCAUAAUAACGGCAAAAUUCAAUACCUAACAUACAUAUAAAACCAAAUCAUAAAAUCUAAACAAGAAACAUAUAACUAUGCAUUAAAAUCAACAAGAUCGUUAAACGUAAAAACAUAAAACAUAAAAAAGUGCCUUUGGGGAUAUAUCAGGGCCACACAUUGUCUACCGGCGCAAUUAAUUAUUAACUUUAUUAUUAUUAACUUUAUUUGUGAGUGAUUUUAUUGGACGGCAUAGGAGAAUGAAUUAUUAUUUGCCUGAGCCCUUCUUAUACAAAAAUCAAACAAAACAAACUAGCUGCUCUUUAUUUUCAGAAGAAAAUGUGGAGACUUUAAGGCUGCUUUGAUUUUCUUUUCAAGUAAAACAUGGACCUUUGUUCCUGUGAUGUUGUGUGGAAAUGUCACAUUCCAGGACAAACCCCUGUUUUUCAUUUACUGUAGGAAGAAUAAAUGGUAGCAGCCUGUGUGUGGCCUGAAUGCCACAUGUGAAAGUGGAGGAGAUAGCACAUCUGUUUUGAUGAAUUGUAGUGGUUAAAGAAGUAAUGGCAGUUCCUACUUUGGAAAAAUGCUAGGAACUUUUUCCCCAAGAUCUUUUGUUUUUAAAAAGACACAGGUUGCAGAACACCUCUGAG